rnacentral:rRNA from 1 species
AUUGAACGCUGGCGGCAUGCUUUACACAUGCAAGUCGAACGGUAACAGGCCGCAAGGUGCUGACGAGUGGCGAACGGGUGAGUAAUGCAUCGGAACGUGCCCAGUCGUGGGGGAUAACGCAGCGAAAGCUGUGCUAAUACCGCAUACGAUCUAUGGAUGAAAGCGGGGGACCGUAAGGCCUCGCGCGAUUGGAGCGGCCGAUGUCAGAUUAGGUAGUUGGUGGGGUAAAGGCCUACCAAGCCGAGGAUCUGUAGCUGGUCUGGGAGGACGACCAGCCACACUGGGACUGAGACACGGCCCAGACUCCUACGGGAGGCAGCAGUGGGGAAUUUUGGACAAUGGGCGCAAGCCUGAUCCAGCAAUGCCGCGUGCAGGAAGAAGGCCUUCGGGUUGUAAACUGCUUUUGUACGGAACGAAACGGUCUGGGUUAAUACCCUGGGCUAAUGACGGUACCGUAAGAAUAAGCACCGGCUAACUACGUGCCAGCCGCCGCUGUAAAAC